rnacentral:rRNA from 1 species
AUACGGNAGGCAGCAGUAGGGAAUCUUCCACAAUGGACNCAAGUCUGAUGGAGCAACNCCGCGUGAGUGAANAAGGUUUUCGGAUCGUAAAGCUCUGUUGUUGGUGAANAAGGACAUGGAUAGUAACUGAUCUAUGUUUGACGGUAAUCAACCAGAAAGUCACGGCUAACUACGUGCCAGCAGCCGCGGUAAUACGUAGGUGGCAAGCGUUGUCCGGAUUUAUUGGGCGUAAAGCGAACGCAGGCGGGAGAACAAGUCANCUGUGAAAGCCCUCGGCUUAACCGAGGAACGGCAACUGAAACUGUUUUUCUUGAGUGCANAAGAGGAGAGUGGAACUCCAUGUGUAGCGGUGAAAUGCGUAGAUAUAUGGAAGANCACCAGUGNCGANGGCGGCUCUCUGGUCUGUAACUGACGCUGAGGUUCCAAAGCAUGGGUAGCGAACAGGAUUANAUACCCUGGUAGUCCAUGCCGUAAACGAUGAGUGCUAAGUGUUGGGAGGUUUCCGCCUCUCACUGCUGCAGCUAACGCAUUAANCACUCNGCCUGGGGAGUACGACCGCAAGGNUNAAACUCNAAGGAAUUGACGGGGGCCNNCACAGCCNGUG